rnacentral:rRNA from 1 species
AUUGAACGCUGGCGGCAGGCCUAACACAUGCAAGUCGAGCGGAUGAAGGGAGCUUGCUCCUGGAUUCAGCGGCGGACGGGUGAGUAAUGCCUAGGAAUCUGCCUGGUAGUGGGGGAUAACGUCCGGAAACGGGCGCUAAUACCGCAUACGUCCUGAGGGAGGAAGUGGGGGAUCUUCGGACCUCACGCUAUCAGAUGAGCCUAGGUCGGAUUAGCUAGUUGGUGGGGUAAAGGCCUACCAAGGCGACGAUCCGUAACUGGUCUGAGAGGAUGAUCAGUCACACUGGAACUGAGACACGGUCCAGACUCCUACGAGAGGCAGCAGUGGGGAAUAUUGGACAAUGGGCGAAAGCCUGAUCCAGCCAUGCCGCGUGUGUGAAGAAGGUCUUCGGACUGUAAAGCACUUUAAGUUGGGAGGAAGGGCAGUAAGUUAAUACCUUGCUGUUUUGACGUUACCAACAGAAUAAGCACCGGCUAACUUCGUG